CAAUAGCGUAUAUUAAAGUUGUUGCAGUUAGAACGCUCGUAGUCGGAUUUCGGGGCGGGCCGACCGGUCUGCCGAUGGGUAUGCACUGGUCGGCGCGUCCUUCCUUCCGGAGACCGUCCCUACUCUUAACUGAGCGGGGGUGGGAGACGGGACUUUUACUUUGAAAAAAUCAGAGUGUUUCAAGCAGGCAGCUCGCUCUUGCAUGGAUUAGCAUGGGAUAAUGAAAUAGGACUUUGGUGCUAUUUUGUUGGUUUCGAACACCGAAGUAAUGAUGAGAAGGGACAGUCAGGGGCACUCGUAUUCCGCCGAGAGAGGUGAAAUUCUCAGACCAGCGGAAGACGAACCACUGCGAAAGCAUUUGCCAGGGAUGUUUUCACUGA
rnacentral:rRNA from 1 species